CGAGUGCGCGGUCUGGACACGAGACUCAACCUUCAAUCACUGAGCACAAGAACAAGAAACAAGAACACAGAGACGGCAGUUCAGCGGAAACAUGUGGCUCACCUUUACAGCUUCACUGGUUUUAACUCUGGGAUGUAUUUGUCCUGUCACUGUGUCGCACCCUGCCCUUCCAGAGGACUUGGAGGGGUCAGGCUUUGACAUGGAUGGUUCUGGUUCAGGAGAUGCGUCAGAAAUUGGGUUCUCCAAGUCGGACCUUUGACAGCACACACUCAUCUACCAGUGAUGCCAAAUCUGACUUCAUAAUUUUCUCAAAUAGCAAGAGUUUCAUGGAGAGCGAAGAAGUCCUCGCAGGGAUUAUUGCUGGGGGAGUAACAGGGGCGAUACUCGGAGCUACACUAUCAGCUAUACUGAUCUAUAAAUGGAAGAAGAAAGAUGAGGAAGAGCGUUUAAAAAAGGGUUCAAAGUUUAAAACCCCAUUAAGGUUGGUUUUAAAAACUGAUACCACUGGGACAAUUUAUUAUCCAGAAAAGCAGCUGUGAAUGUGUUUUUCUCUUCAUAUUCCUGAGGGAAAGGUUUUUUUUUUCUUUAUUGAAGUUAAAUGACAUGUAACCUGCGCUGCUGUAUAUGAACCUAUUUAACUGAAGUGUUUUUGAUUGAAGCUAAGAGAAAGGUUUACAAGGUAUUAUUUAACCAUGAAGAUGUCCCAGAUUUUGUUGUUACCAUGCAGACAUUUGUGUAGCAUAUGAUUAAUUAAGUUUGUUGUGUUUUUGUUUAACAAAUAAAGGAAAAUCUUGCUCAUCCACUGAA